rnacentral:rRNA from 1 species
GCUAAGUGAUCUGCCAAAGCUGUGGGGUGAAAAAAUACAUUAGUAGGGGAGUAUUCUGCCUUAGAGGAAAUCCUCUGCGCGAGCGGUGGUGGAUAAAGAAGAAGCGAGAAUGUUGGCUUGAGUAACACAGAAAUUGGUGAGAAUCUAAUGCCCCAAAAAUGUAAGGGUUCCUCGGCAAUAUUCAUCCACUGAGGGUGAGUUAGGGCCUAAGAUCAGGCUGAAAGGGAUGGUCGAUCGACAAAAGGUGAAUAUUUCUGUACUACCCUUUGUUGGUCCCAAGGGAUGGAGGAGGCUAGGUUAGCCGAAAGAUAGUUAUUAGUUCAAGAACGUAAGGUGUCCCUGCCCCUUUUUUAGGGUAAAAAGGGGUAGAGAAAAUGCCUUGAGCCAACGUUCGAAUACCAAGCGCUACGGGGUUGAAGUAGCCCAUGCCAUACUCCUAGGAAAAGCUCGAACGACUUUAAGCAAGAGGGUACUUGUACCCGAAAACGACACAGGUGGGUAGGUAGAGAAUACCUCGGGGUGCGAGACAACUCUCUCUAAGGAACUUGGCAAAAUAGCCCCAUAACUUUGGGAGAAGGGGUGCCUCUUCACAUCAUAAAGGGGGUCAUAGUACCCAGGCCCGGGCGACUGUUUACCAAAAACACAGGGUCUCCGCAAAGUCAUAAGAGCAUGUAUGGGGGCUGACGCUUGCCUAGUGCGGAAGGUCAAGGAAGUUGGUGACCUGAUGACAGGGGAGCCAGCGACCGAAGCCCCAGUAAACAGAGACCAUAACUAUAACGGUCCUAAGGUAGCGAAAUUCCCUAUUGGGUAAGUUUUGACCCGCACAAAAGUCGUAAUGAUUUGGGCACUAUCUCGGAGAGAGGCUCUAUGAAAUAGACAUAUUUGUGAAGAAGCGGACUACCUGCACCUGGACAGAAAGACCCUAUGAAGCUUCACUGUUCCCUGGGAUUGGCUUUGGGCCUUUCCUGUACAGCUUAGGUGGAAGGCGAAGAAGGCCUCCUUCUGGGGGGACCGAGCCAUCAAUGAUAUAACACUCUGGAAGGGCUAGAAUUCUAACCUUGUGUCAGGACCUAUGGGCUAAGGGACAGUCUCAGGUAGACAGUUUCUAUGGGGCGUAGGCCUCCCAAAAGUUAACGGAGGCGUGAAAAUGUUUCCUUGGGCCGGACGGAGAUUGGCCAUCAAGUACAAAGGUAGAAGGGAGCUUGACUACAAGACCCACCCGUCGAGCAGAGACGAAAGUCGGCCUUAUUGAUCUGACGGUUCUGAGUGGAAGGUUCGUCGCUCAACGGAUAAAAGUUAAUCUAGGGAUAACUGGCUGAUCUUCCCUAAGAGCUCACAUCGAUGUCGGCUCUUCGCCACCUGGGGCUGUAGUAUGUUCCAAGGGUUGGGUUGUUCGCCCAUUAAAGUGGUACGUGAGCUGGGUUAAAAGGUCGUGAGACAGGUUGGUCCAUAUCUGGUAUGGGCGUUAGAGCAUUGAGAGGACCUUUCCCUAGUAUGAGAGGACCGAGAAGGAUGCACCUCUGGUGUACCAGUUAUUCUGCCCACGGUAAAUGCUGGGUAGCCAAGUGCGGUGGACAACUGCUGAAAUCAUCUAAGUAGUAAGCCCACCCCAAGAUGAGUGCUCUCCUUUUUUGACUUCCCCAGAGCUUUCGGUAGCACAACCGAGACAGCGACGGGUUCUCUGCCCCUAUGGGGAUGGAGCGACAAAAGUUUUUUUGAGAAUUCAAGAGAAGGUCACGGCGAGAUGAGCCAUUUUUCAUUACGAUAGGUAUCAAGUGGAUGUGCAGUGAUGUAUGCAGCUGAGGUAUCCUAAUAGAUCGGUAGACUUGAACCU